rnacentral:rRNA from 1 species
GCAGCCGCGGUAAUACGUAGGUGGCAAGCGUUAUCCGGAUUUACUGGGUGUAAAGGGUGUGUAGGCGGGCUAGCAAGUCAGAUGUGAAACCUAUGGGCUCAACCCAUAGCCUGCAUUUGAAACUGUUGGUCUUGAGAGUGGGAGAGGUAAGUAGAAUUCCCGGUGUAGCGGUGAAAUGCGUAGAUAUCGGGAGGAAUACCGGUGGCGAAGGCGGCUUACUGGACCAUUACUGACGCUGAGACACGAAAGCGUGGGGAGCAAACAGGAUUAGAUACCCC